UCGUGCAGCCGGGGUGUUAGCGGUACCUUGUACCUACAAUCCGCUAUAGUAGGGGUGAUAUUGCGCAGAGGGCAUUUUUCUUUCGGAGCUGCCCUUAAUAAGUGGCGUUGAUGACUGGGUCUUACGCGACGGGAAUCUGUGAACCGUGUCAGGUCGGGAACGAAGCAGCACUAAGCAGAACCUCCCGGGUGCCGUAAGGCAGCCUGGUCUGAGUUAACUGUUAAGGUAACGUCCGGGAGAAAGUGUUCGAAGCGCAAUGCACGU
rfam:Dorea sp. CAG:105 genomic scaffold, scf134